UCCUCUUUACAGAGGCAGUUUGUUCCGAGUCCCCGGCAUGAUCCGCUGGUAACAGAACAUGAGGGUUGCGCUCGUUGCGGGACUUAACCCAACAUUUCACAACACGAGCUGACGACAGCCAUGCACCACCUGUACUACACCCUCGAAGGCGACUCCGUUUCGGGAGCUUGCAGUAGCAUGUCAAGUCCUGGUAAGGUUCUUCGCGUUGCAUCGAAUUAAGCCAUAUGCUCCACCGCUUGUGCGGGCCCCCGCCAAUUCCUUUGAGUUUCAACCUUGCGGCCGUAGUCCCCAGGCGGUUCACUUAAUGCGUUAGCUGCGGCACCGAGGGAAACCCCCCAACACCUAGUGAACAUCGUUUAUGGCCAAGACUAC
rnacentral:misc_RNA from 1 species